UGGGGAAUAUUGCACAAUGGACGGAAGUCUGAUGCAGCAACGCCGCGUGCGGGAUGACGGCCUUCGGGUUGUAAACCGCUUUUUCUCAUGACGAAGUUUUUUGACGGUAGUGGGGGAAGAAGCACCGGCUAACUACGUGCCAGCAGCCGCGGUGAUACGUAGGGUGCGAGCGUUGUCCGGAAUUAUUGGGCGUAAAGAGCUUGUAGGCGGUUUGUCGCGUCGAUAGUGCAAACUCAGUGCUUAACGCUGAGCCUGCUGUUGAUACGGGCAGACUAGAGGAAGGUAGGGGAGAAUGGAAUUCCCGGUGGAGCGGUGGAAUGCGCAGAUAUCGGGAGGAACACCGGUGGCGAAGGCGGUUCUCUGGGCCUUUCCCGACGCUGAGAAGCGAAAGCGUGGGGAGCGAACAGG
rnacentral:rRNA from 1 species